GACAUAAAAUAUGAAUUAAUAUUGGCGAGAAAUUGAUUAAAAAUGAGUAAAAGAAAGACUUAUUGGGUACUAAAGAAAAAGGCGAACUGAAAACUCGGUAAGAGUGAAAAUUCAGUCAAUGAAAUUUUGAAGUCCCAUAUUGACCAGGAAUGAAAUUUAUUAAGUCAUAAAGCUAAAUUAGUUUAAUUAAUGGAGAUUAUAAAAAUUAAAUAUAAUUAAAUAAAUAGUCAAACUAAAAUGAUUAGGAAAUUCAAAGUAAUUAUAAAAUUGCCAGUCCACUUAUUUACAAAUUUGCCAUUGAAUAUUUAAUUAAUAUAUAAAUCACUUUUUGGGCAGAAAAUUCAGGCACCUUCAUGUU
rnacentral:misc_RNA from 1 species